rnacentral:lncRNA from 1 species
GGCUUCCAGUGGAACUUCACGUAGUUGACCUUGCCGGCCUUGUUGAUGAGGGUGAAGGUGUGCACGCCGAAGCCCUCCAUGUGCCGGUAGUCCUGCGGGAUGCCGUAGUCGUCGAAGAAGAAGGUGAAGGUGUUGAGGCUCUCCGGGAUGUGGGAGAAGAAGUCCAGGUAACGCCAUGUUUCCUGGAUGUGGGAUUUCGGGUUCGGUUUCAUCGCGUGGAUCAGGUCCGGGAACUUCAUCCCGUCCCGGAUGAAGAACACCGGGAUGUU